rnacentral:lncRNA from 1 species
CGGCCGCGGACGCCCGGUCCUGGCACGGCACCGCGGCGACCAGCGCCCACAUGGCGAAGACGAGGACCGAGCUCAUGGUGUAGAGUGCGAGCCCGAGCCCGCAUCCCGCGCCGGCCGCGGCCGCGGGCGCCUGCGGCGGCGGCGCGAGGUGCGCCGCCAUGGCGUUCAUGUGGCGGCCCGCGGACCAGUUCUUGGAGACGCUGAAGGAGAGCGCCCGCAUGGUGCGGGAGCACGGCGAGGACGCGGAGCCGGCGCCGACGCCGGCCCUGGCGUCGUCCGGGAAGAGCCUGGCGAUGGCCCUGCGCGCGCGUGCGAGGUGCGCGCGGUGGAGCGCCGGGGCGAGGAGGCAGGUGGCGGCGGUGAGCGCGGCGCGGUGCGCGGCCCGGAGCGAGGUGAGUGUGAGGGAGGCGGCGUUGAGGACGUCGAGCGUCUUGACGGCGCGGUCGAGGAGGUCGGCUGCGAGGCGGUCGGCGGGGGGCCUGGCGAGCGCGGCGGCGACGGGGCCGACGGCGAGGACGGCGCGGAAGGCGGCGUCGGAGGAGAGGACGGCGUCGAGGAGCUUGGAGAGGAAGGGGAGGGAGAGGGCCGGGGAGGCGGGGGAGGAUGAAGCGGAGAGGGCCUGGAGGCGGUCGGCGACGUGGGCCUGGAGCGCGUCGAGCGCGAGGAGCUCGUCGUCCUGCGCGGGGUCGAAGGAGGCGACGGCGGUGGCGCUGCGGC